rnacentral:miRNA from 1 species
UGUCAUGGAGUAGCUCUCUUAGA